rnacentral:rRNA from 1 species
UACGUAGGGUGCGAGCGUUAAUCGGAAUUACUGGGCGUAAAGCGUGCGCAGGCGGUUUUGUAAGCCAGAUGUGAAAGCCCCGGGCUCAACCUGGGAAUGGCAUUUGGGACUGCAAGGCUUGAGUGCGGCAGAGGAGACUGGAAUUCCUGGUGUAGCAGUGAAAUGCGUAGAUAUCAGGAGGAAUACCGAUGGCGGAGGCAGGUCUCUGGGCUGACACUGACGCUCAUGCACGAAAGCGUGGGGAGCAAACAGG